AAAGAAACUUACGAGGAGGCACUUGAGGAAGUAGGUGAAACAAAACUAUCAAUGAAGCAAUAUGCAGUUUUCACAUCAAAUAAAUCUAAGUCCUGGCUUUGUCUACUUGGCUGCGGUUAAGGAAACACGAAGUUCGAUAAAGGAGGAAAAAAUACUUAAGUUUGGACAUCUUCUGCUCAGCUCAAAAAGAACUUCCUUUU